AAAGUCCUGAGGUGCACGUUAUUUAACCUAUUCGUUUUGACCGAACAUAUUAACUAGGGGAGCUUGGAGUUUUCUAGUUACGUACAUGCCUCAAUCGGAAGCUGGCAUUUCCGCCGCCCGGAGGAAGUACAAAGGCCUGAAAUAGAGCACCCACCUGCUUUAAGCGGGUUCAAAACAAAGGCCGAGUGACGACACAAACGGGACUUUC
rnacentral:other from 1 species